rnacentral:rRNA from 1 species
UACAGAGGGUGCGAGCGUUAAUCGGAAUUACUGGGCGUAAAGCGUCUGUAGGUGGCUUUUUAAGUCCGCCGUCAAAUCCCAGGGCUCAACCCUGGACAGGCGGUGGAAACUACCAAGCUGGAGUACGGUAGGGGCAGGAGGGAAUUUCCGGUGGAGCGGUGAAAUGACGUAGAGAUCGGAAAGAACACCAACGGCGAAAGCACUCUGCUGGGCCGACACUGACACUGAGAGACGAAAGCUAGGGGAGCGAAUGGG